GCGGGCGUGGUGGAAUUGGCAGACACGCAGGAUUUAGGUUCCUGUGCUCACGAGCGUGAGGGUUCGAGUCCCUCCGCCCGCA
rnacentral:tRNA from 1 species